CUAAACAAGGGCAAAAUUUCAAAUGUGAAGGGUGUCAGGUCCGGAAGGAAGCAGCACUAAGCAUCUUGAGGUUUGUGCCCUUUUUUUGUUGUCGCU
rnacentral:SRP_RNA from 1 species